CCAUCAGAUGGAUAACCCUUACCUAAUCCUUUUUUUCAGAGCUCAGAUUAGGACAUGUUUGGAGUUUGCAUGUAGGGUUAUUAAUACAGUAUGUCUGCACAAUCAAGACUUGCCCUGAUUGCUCCUGUUUGAU
ensembl:snoRNA U8 U8 small nucleolar RNA